CAUCUUGCCGCCUCCUCUAGCCCGCCCGAGCCACAACGUCACGCGCGUAACCUGGAAGUGUCCCGCGUAUGAGUCGGGCGGGUGUUGGCGAGCUGUGCGGCGUGCUGCCUUACCGCCCUCUGGUGCCCUGUGGGGGCUCGGGCGUGCAGGCGGGUGGCGUCUGCCGCGCUAAGGGAGGGAAGAAGGGAGCCGGGAGAGCUGUUGCUGGGGUGGUUAUCAAACUGCGGAGGAGCUUUGAUCUGGGAGCAGGGACCUUUACUGAUCGAUGCCGUAUUAAUAGCAGCCCUUGAAGAUUGCUCUGUACAUUGGCUUGUAAAUCCAGCUCCUUCUCUGCACCGUUUGGUACCAAGUGCCUUAAUGAAAUCCAGGCUGGACUCCUGGCUGGAGACAGCGUGCUAACACUGAUAAAAAUAAUUAAGGUUUAUGGCCUAGAAAGGCGGGUAGAUGUGACGUGAUCGGUUCUAAAUGCUGCUGGGAACGUUGCACACAGGAAAAUUUCCAUUAAACCUGGAAUACCGCCCCCAUGCUUGAGCUUGGAGGAACAGUGACGACUCUUUAUUUGCCAAAGGGUGUAUGGCUUCGUUAUUAAAACCUGCGCUGGAGUUCAGUACCUCUUCUCCCUCCUGUCGGGCCGUCGUUUCGCCUCUCGGCGCAGUUCGGAAGGCCGCCGCCGCCACCUAGUGACAGCUCUGCGCACUGUGACAGCCCUGCACGCAGUGACAGCCCUGCACACAGUGACGGCCUUGUACGUACUGGCACCGAGACCUGCGGCGAUACACUGCUCUGGUCCCCACGUGCGGUGUGUGAGCACCUGGAGAGGACUUCUCCUUCCUCUGUGUGUUUGGAGGAUGCGCUCAUGGAAAUCUUCCACUCUAACACACGGUGGUAAAACCGUUUCUAAAGCCUAGGAUUGAGCAAAGCGUUUCUGAGACAGGACAAGAGCAGGGUAGCAGCAGACUGCACCAGAUCUAAAGUGAUGUUAGAAAGCUGGACAUCAAAUGCAGAACAAGGUUAGAUUGAGAUGUGAAUUGAAGAAGGCUACAAAACAGUGUGAAUUACAGACAGAGUGGAAAGCCAGUCAUGCCCUUUUUAAAUCACCUGAGGCUCCUUUGUCAUUCCCAUACCUCAAAUUUAAGAGCUUUUUGGAACAAAGAAGCAACAUCUGUAAAAUUGUUUCCAGCAACAGCACAGCUGCGAACACAGUGUUACAGAGGAUACAGCCUUUAUCCCCACUUAGGGUUGCUCAUAGCAGUAGAAUUCAGGCGGAUGAAUUGGACAAAAAGGUUUUGUUCCCUGUCCCUACUGUGUAGCCAUGUGUCACUGUUAAGUGUUACUUGAAAAGUGAUCAUCAGUUACUAAAACAUUUUAACACGGAGUUAGCAAUUGUUUACUAGCAGAGCAAAUGCCAUUUGCCAUUCUCUUUUAAAAAUAAGUAACGUUAAUUGCUCUCAUUGAAGACUAGAAAGUAGGUUUUUAGGAUGGCUGGAGGAUGCCACGAAGUUCACAGAAUCGUAAACCAAAGUAAGAAACUGUAACAGUGGGUUAAUUCUGAUCUGACAUUACUGAGGUGCCACACGCUGUCCUGGCAAAGGCAUAGUGAAAACUGCUGUCCUACAGCUGAUGGAACUCUUUGAAGUGGAUUUACACAGGUUUGGUACUGUAUCAGAAAUCACAAGGGCACUAAGCAUCCAUAAACAAAGCUGUAGCCUGUACUGUGUGUAAGCUCUCUGGGAAUACAUCUGAAUAACGUGGCUACCAGCAGAACCUGAGUUUCUCUGGGGAUUAGCGUUUUGGAUGCCAGCCUUCUAAUCACAGGGAUUCAGUUACUCCUUCCAAUCAGAUCAAUGUAACAUGGCUGUGUAACGCAAUAAUAGCACCUCUUCUAAAUGGAGAAAUGUUGAGUCCUGAGGAAGACAAGCUAUGUUCAUUUCAGCAUUUUUGCUUUGUGUCCUAUCCCUAUGUGGAGUCUCACGUGGAACUUUACACACCCUAAAAUUACACGCUGACCACCUUCUUUUCAGUAUAUUCUAGCUAAACAGACCACAUCCUGAUACACAAUCUCCUUUCAGUGUUUUUGCUACGAAUGUGGUGCAAGUCCACUGAAGUCAGCCUUGAAAUCCCAGUUUUGUCAAGCUCAGAAUCUGCUCGGUGGAGACCCAGCGCUGCUGGUUGAACUCGUGCUCUGCCACCUGCAGCUGAAGCCUAAACGUACUCUGUAUCCUAGCAGGGAGGUGUCCGAAGGCAGCUUCCCCAGCUUCCUUCUCAGCCACAGAUGCGCCUUUAACCCACGCAGCUCUGUCGCUCAGGCUGUCCCGCAGUAUCACUUACCGGCGUCACCACAGAGGGGGAGCAGCACACCGCAGGCUGGCCCAGGACACAUGCAGAGACGUGCUGCUGCGGGGUGGUGGUUCACGUUUUAGGAUCCUUCGGGCUUCUUCACAGCAGUGUUAGAGAGAGGAUCCCACUCAAUGC
ensembl:lncRNA